rnacentral:rRNA from 1 species
UCGGAUUCCGAUUUAGCCUGCUAGUUGCGCGAGUUCAGACUCGCAGCAGAUAGCUCAGUAACACGUGGUCAAUCUACCCUGCAGACACGGACAACCUCGGGAAACUGAGGCUAAUCCGCGAUACCGAUCCCACGCUGGAAUGCCGGGAUCCACAAACGCUCCGGCGCUGCAGGAUGCGGCUGCGGCCGAUUAGGUAGACGGUGGGGUAACGGCCCACCGUGCCGAUAAUCGGUACGGGUUGUGAGAGCAAGAGCCCGGAGACGGAAUCUGAGACAAGAUUCCGGGCCCUACGGGGCGCAGCAGGCGCGAAACCUUUACACUGCACGCAAGUGCGAUAAGGGGACUCCGAGUGCGAGGGCAUAUAGUCCUCGCUUUUGAGAACCGUAAGGUGGUUCUCGAAUAAGAGCUGGGCAAGACCGGUGCCAGCCGCCGCGGUAAUACCGGCAGCUCAAGUGAUGGCCAAUCUUAUUGGGCCUAAAGCGUCCGUAGCUGGCCGUGAAAGUUCGUCGGGAAAUCCAUCCGCUCAACGGAUGGGCGUCCGGCGAAAACUUCGCGGCUUGGGACCGGAAGGCUCGAGGGGUACGUCCGGGGUAGGAGUGAAAUCCUGUAAUCCUGGACGGACCGCCGAUGGCGAAAGCACCUCGAGAAGACGGAUCCGACAGUGAGGGACGAAAGCUAGGGUCUCGAACCGGAUUAGAUACCCGGGUAGUCCUAGCCGUAAACGAUGUUCACUAGGUGUGGCACAGGCUACGAGCCUGUGCUGUGCCGUAGGGAAGCCGAGAAGUGACCGCCUGGGAAGUACGUCCGCAAGGAUGAAACUUAAAGGAAUUGGCGGGGGAGCACUACAACCGGAGGAGCUUGCGGUUUAUUUGGACUCACGGCCGGACAUCUCACCAGCUCCGACUACAGUAAUGACGGGU